UGGGGAAUAUUGGACAAUGGAGGAGACUCUGAUCCAGCAAUUCUGUGUGCACGAAGACGGUUUUCGGAUUGUAAAGUGCUUUCAGCAGGGAAGAAGAAAGUGACGGUACCUGCAGAAGAAGCGACGGCUAAAUACGUGCCAGCAGCCGCGGUAAUACGUAUGUCGCGAGCGUUAUCCGGAAUUAUUGGGCAUAAAGGGCAUCUAGGCGGAUAUACAAGUCAGGGGUGAAAACUUAGGGCUCAACUCAAAGCUUGCCUUUGAAACUGUAUAUCUAGAGUGCUGGAGAGGUGGACGGAACUACACGAGUAGAGGUGAAAUUCGUAGAUAUGUGUAGGAAUGCCGAUGAUGAAGAUAGUCCACUGGACAGCAACUGACGCUGAAGUGCGAAAGCUAGGGGAGCAAACAGGAUUAGAUACCCUGGUAGUCCUAGCUGUAAACGAUGAUUACUGGGUGUGGGCAUGAAGAGUGUCUGUGCCGAAGCUAAUGCGAUAAGUAAUCCGCCUGGGGAGUACGACCGCAAGGUUG
rnacentral:rRNA from 1 species